GUUGUCCCGCCCUCUUCUACUGUUUUAUGACUGGGAGAGCCGCUCUGCAUUGCCUUUAAGGGAUAAAGGCUGAAUCUAUUUUUACAAGGAUCAUUCCAAUCAUUGUUGGAGUGUGUAAACAUACUACUAUUGAUAUACGAUGUUCGGUCCCCCCCACGGACGGGCAGCACGAAAACCACACCACGUCACCACGUCUGUUCCUGUAUGGGCUUCUUGGAUUUGUGAUCCACAAGGAAUGUUCAAAUAGUAACGCCAGAAUAACAAACCCCGUUCAAAAUGUUCAUUAAAAAUGCAAUCAUGUUGAAACCUUUCUUGAAACAUUUUAAUUGUAUUGAUCAAAGUGCUCUGUUUAGAUACCAUGGAGAUUGUGUGUCUGAUUCUGUCCGAAAAUUGUCCUCUGGGACAAAGUGCCAUGGAUAGACAAUCCGACAAACAUAUAGUUUAUACAACAUAAAAUGCCAUUCAAUCAUUAAAACAAAGGAUAUUCUAUGCAAAAGUAUUUAGUCCUCGAAAACACAACAUUAUGCGGGAGUCCAAGAUAAUUAAAACCUACUGUAAUGCUCCAAAUUCAGCCUGUUUAGCACGUUGUCAAUGGGCUGCUGGCCUAACAAAGCAUGACGCCAUGCUAUAUCUUCAUAUGGCUCAAUGCGUGAACCAGGCGCGAGCUAUAAUUUAACACUCGCUGCGUGGACCGGAAUAGCAUAGAGGGCUGCAAGGAUGAGCCAUUAAAUAAUUCAGCUUGGAUAGAUGGAGAACAUGCAUCUUUGUCUGCGACACAAAGAGAGAUGAAAUUUGUGAGUGUGAGAGAGAGAGUGAGACAGUAGAAUGUAAUACUGUGUGGGUCUGUGUGUGUGUGUGUAUGUAUGUGCUAAUGUGUCUGUGCUGAUGUGUGUGUGUGUUUAUGUAUAUAUGUGUGUGUGUGUGUGUGUGUGUGUGUGUGUGUGUGUGUGUGUGUGUGUGUGUGUGUGUGUGUGUGUGUGUGGGUGUGUGUGUGUGUGUGUGUGUGUGUGUGUGUGUGUGUGUGUGUGUGUGUGUGUGUGUGUGCUCAUGUGUGUGCGUGUUUGUGCGUGUACUUGCAUGCUCGUGUGUGUGAGUGUGUGUGUCUGUGAGUGUGCUCAGGUGUGUGUAUCUACUGGUGGGUUCCACAUUGAUGCAGCCGUCCUCUACUCACUUACCACGCACAGAGAUGGACUGGAGAGACCAAAAUACAGAGCCACAAGAGGGGCUCCAUGAUUUAGAGACAGUCAGCCAUGACAGGCCGUCUCGGAGGGUUUUGGUUUGCCGGAGAGGAGCUUAACACUGGGGAGCUCUGAAGAUCAAAGUGUUAACACACACAUGCCUACAUGCACGCAAAACCCAAAUACAAACACACACACACACACACACACACACACACACACACACACACACACACACACACACACACACACACACACA
ensembl:lncRNA